CGGCUACCACAUCCAAGGAAGGCA
rnacentral:ncRNA from 5 species